UGGGGAAUUUUGGACAAUGGGCGCAAGCCUGAUCCAGCCAUGCCGCGUGCGGGAAGAAGGCCUUCGGGUUGUAAACCGCUUUUGUCAGGGAAGAAAUCUUCUGAGUUAAUACCUCGGGAGGAUGACGGUACCUGAAGAAUAAGCACCGGCUAACUACGUGCCAGCAGCCGCGGUAAUACGUAGGGUGCAAGCGUUAAUCGGAAUUACUGGGCGUAAAGCGUGCGCAGGCGGUUUUGUAAGACAGAGGUGAAAUCCCCGGGCUCAACCUGGGAACUGCCUUUGUGACUGCAAGGCUUGAGUGCGGCAGAGGGGGGAUGGAAUUCCGCGUGUAGCAGUGAAAUGCGUNGAUAUGCGGAGGAACACCGAUGGCGAAGGCAAUCCCCUGGGCCUGCACUGACGCUCAUGCACG
rnacentral:rRNA from 1 species